rnacentral:rRNA from 1 species
AAGGUUAUUCCGCUUUAAGAUGAUUAGAUAAAUCAUAGAGAUAGGUAGUUGUUAAGGUAAUGGCUUAACUAGCCCAAAAUUCUCUUAGUCGAAACUGAAAUGGUUGAUCGACCACAUUGGGGCUGAAAAAAACCCAAUACAAGUGAGUACAGCAGUGGGGAAUAUUGGUCAAUGGCCUAACGGCUGAACUGGCAACUUGGAGGAAUGGCCUAUCUUACUAAGUAAAUAGUAAGAAUUAGAGUGAAAAUGGUUAAAUCGAUUAUCGAAUAAAAUUCUAAAUAUAUAAAUUAUAAUGACUAUAUAUAUUUAUGUCUUGACUAAUUACGUGCCAGCAGUCGCGGUAAUACGUAAGAGACUAGUGUUACUCAUUUUUAAUAGGUUUAAAGGGUACCCAGACGGAAGAAAUUUGCCUGGAAAGGGACAAUUUUUAUCUAGAGUUUAAUAUAAGAAGGUCGUACUUGUGGAAUAGAGAUGAAAUACUUUUAUACCUAAUAAGGGACUGGUAAAGGCGAAAGCAACCUUUUAUGUAAAAACUGACGUUGAAGGACGAAGGCUUAGAACACGAAUAGGAUUAGAUACCCUAGUAGUCUUAGCAGAAAAUGAUGAAUGUCAUAGGUUAGGUUAUACUUAGUCUAUAAAUGAAAAUGUAAGCAUUUCACCUCAAGAGUAACGUGGCAACACGGAAACUGAAAUCACUAGACCGUUUCUGACAUCAGUAGUGAAGUAUGUUAUUUAAUUCGAUGAUCCACGAAAAACCUUACCACAAUUAGAAUUAUAUUUAUAAUAUAAAUAUUAUAAAUAUAACGAGUGUUGCACGGCUGUUUCCAGUUAAUGUUGUGAAACUAUGGCUUCGGCCAUGAAAUUAACGAAAACCCUUGCUUUAUUUAUAGAAAAUUUUUAAUAAAGCUGCUUUUAUCAUUAUACCGAUAAAAUAGUAGGGCCAAAGACAAGUCAUCAUGGCCUUUAUAUUGUGGGCUAUAGACGUGCCACAUAUUCCUAGACAAAGAGAUGCGAAAAUGCGAAUUUAAGCUAAUCUCAAAAAAUAGGAUAAAAUAGGAUAAGGAUUGUAGUCUGAAACUCGACUACAUGAAUAAGUAAUUACUAGUAAUCGUGAAUC